rnacentral:rRNA from 1 species
AGAACGAACGCUGGCGGCAGGCUUAACACAUGCAAGUCGAACGCUCGUAGCAAUACGGGAGUGGCAGACGGGUGAGUAACGCGUGGGAACAUACCCUCCGGUUCGGAAUAGCUCAGGGAAACUUGGAUUAAUACCGGAUACGGCCGAGAGGCGAAAGAUUUAUCGCCGGAGGAUUGGCCCGCGUUCGAUUAGCUAGUUGGUGAGGUAACGGCUCACCAAGGCGACGAUCAGUAGCUGGUCUGAGAGGAUGAUCAGCCUCACUGGGACUGAGACACGGCCCAGACUCCUACGGGAGGCAGCAGUGGGGAAUAUUGGACAAUGGGCGCAAGCCUGAUCCAGCCAUGCCGCGUGGGUGAUGAAGGCCCUAGGGUUGUAAAGCCCUUUCGGCGGGGAAGAUAAUGACGGUACCGCAGAAGAAGCCCCGGCUAACUUCGUGCCAGCAGCCGC